rnacentral:rRNA from 1 species
UACGGGGGGGGCAAGCGUUGUUCGGAAUUACUGGGCGUAAAGGGCUCGUAGGCGGCCAACUAAGUCAGACGUGAAAUCCCUCGGCUUAACCGGGGAACUGCGUCUGAUACUGGAUGGCUCGAGUUUGGGAGAGGGAUGCGGAAUUCCAGGUGUAGCGGUGAAAUGCGUAGAUAUCUGGAGGAACACCGGUGGCGAAGGCGGCAUCCUGGACCAACACUGACACUGAGGAGCGAAAGCCAGGGGAGCAAACGGG